rnacentral:rRNA from 1 species
CCUACGGGAGGCAGCAGUGGGGAAUAGUGCGCAAUGGGCGAAAGCCUGACGCAGCGACGCCGCGUGAGGGAUGAAGGUCUUCGGAUCGUAAACCUCUGUCAGCAGGGAAGAACGGUCACUGGGCUAAGCAGCAGUGAAUGGACGGUACCGGCAAAGGAAGCACCGGCUAACUCCGUGCCAGCAGCCGCGGUAAUACGGAGGGUGCGAGCGUUAAUCGGAAUUACUGGGCGUAAAGCGCUCGUAGGCGGGAUGUCAAGUCAAGGGUGAAAUCCCAGCGCUCAACUUGGGAACUGCCUUUGACACUGGCACACUGGAGUGUGUUAGCGGUUAGUGGACUUCCUGGUGUAGGCGU